AUUGAACGCUGGCGGCAGGCCUAACACAUGCAAGUCGAACGAGUGGCGGACGGGUGAGUAAUGUCUGGGUAACUGCCUGAUGGAGGGGGAAAACCACUGGAAACGGUAGCUAAUACCGCAUAACCUCGGAUGUGCCCAGAUGGGAUUAGCUAGUUGGUGGGGUAAAGGCUCACCUAGGCGACGAUCCCCAGCUGGUCUGAGAGGAUGACCAGCCACACUGGAACUGAGACACGGUCCAGACUCCUACGGGAGGCAGCAGUGGGGAAUAUUGCACACUGGGCGAAAGCCUGAUGCAGCCAUGCCGCGUGUAUGAAGAAGGCCUUCGGGUUGUAAAGUACUUUCAGCGGGGAGGCGUUACCCGCAGAAGAAGCACCGGCUAACUCCGUGCCAGCAGCCGCGGUAAUAC
rnacentral:rRNA from 1 species